rnacentral:ncRNA from 1 species
CACUCAAGCCUGAAUGCCUAAGUCUGCGGAUAGGGGGUUCAGGCCGUAGCCAUCGAGCUGCCAGGGUGCAGGAAGAAAUGACUGCAUCUCCCAAUCUGGAAAGGUGUUCUGGUGU